rnacentral:rRNA from 1 species
UGGGGAAUAUUGCACAAUGGGCGCAAGCCUGAUGCAGCCAUGCCGCGUGUAUGAAGAAGGCCUUCGGGUUGUAAAGUACUUUCAGCGGGGAGGAAGGGAGUAAAGUUAAUACCUUUGCCCAUUGACGUUACCCGCAGAAGAAGCACCGGCUAACUCCGUGCCAGCAGCCGCGGUAAUACGGAGGGUGCAAGCGUUAAUCGGAAUUACUGGGCGUAAAGCGCACGCAGGCGGUUUGUUAAGUCAGAUGUGAAAUCCCCGGGCUCAACCUGGGAACUGCAUCUGAUACUGGCAAGCUUGAGUCUCGUAGAGGGGGGUAGAAUUCCAGGUGGAGCGGUGAAAUGCGUAGAGAUCUGGAGGAAUACCGGUGGCGAAGGCGGCCCCCUGGACGAAGACUGACGCUCAGGUGCGAAAGCGUGGGGAGCAAACAGG